CACGUAGGAGGCGAGCGUUUGUCCGGAAUCAUUGGGCGUAAAGAGCGCGCAGGCGGCUUGGCAAGUCGGGUGUGAAAUCCCGGGGCUCAACCCCGUGACUGCAUCCGAUACUGUCAGGCUAGAGGUAGGUAGGGGAGAUCGGAAUUCCUGGUGUAGCGGUGAAAUGCGCAGAUAUCAGGAGGAACACCGGUGGCGAAGGCGGAUCUCUGGGCCUUACCUGACGCUCAGGCGCGAAAGCUAGGGGAGCGAACAGG
rnacentral:rRNA from 1 species